rnacentral:rRNA from 1 species
UUUUAAUGAGAGUUUGAUCCUGGCUCAGGACGAACGCUGGCGGCGUGCCUAAUACAUGCAAGUAGAACGCUGAGGUUUGGUGUUUACACUAGACUGAUGAGUUGCGAACGGGUGAGUAACGCGUAGGUAACCUGCCUCAUAGCGGGGGAUAACUAUUGGAAACGAUAGCUAAUACCGCAUAAGAGUAAUUAACACAUGUUAGUUAUUUAAAAGGAGCAAUU